AUUGAACGCUGGCGGAAUGCUUUACACAUGCAAGUCGAACGGCAGCACGGACUUCGGUCUGGUGGCGAGUGGCGAACGGGUGAGUAAUGUAUCGGAACGUGCCCAGUCGUGGGGGAUAACGUAGUGAAAAUUACGCUAAUACCGCAUACGAUCUAUUGAUGAAAGCGGGGGAUCGCAAGACCUCGCGCGAUUGGAGCGGCCGAUAUCAGAUUAGGUAGUUGGUGGGGUAAAGGCCCACCAAGCAAACGAUCUGUAGCUGGUCUGAGAGGACGACCAGCCACACUGGAACUGAGACACGGUCCAGACUCCUACGGGAGGCAGCAGUGGGGAAUUUUGGACAAUGGGCGAAAGCCUGAUCCAGCCAUUCCGCGUGCAGGAUGAAGGCCCUCGGGUUGUAAACUGCUUUUGUACAGAACGAAAAGGUUUCUACUAAUACUAGGAGCUCAUGACGGUACUGUAAGAAUAAGCACCGGCUAACUACGUGCCAGCAGCCGCCGCGG
rnacentral:rRNA from 1 species